UUUCCUGGUGGGUGUGGGGAGGGAAAUGUAAUUCACAGCAGCCAAAGCUCCACUGGGGGAGAGACGAUGAGCAAGAGACUACAGAAACACCAGGGAUUUCUUAAUUUAAGUACUUGUGCUUAAAUAGACCGGUAUAAACCAGCUAGGAAAUUGAAGACUUCCUGCUGAAUAUGUAUCGUGGACAGGAGGUGAAUGUCGCAGCAAUCAAAGUGAUGUCUUGGGAGGAAUAAUUAAGCAUUUUCCGCUCCCAGACAAUGCACAAUUCACAGUGAAGAUGACAGCUAUUUUCUGCCAGGAAAUUCUCAAUUCCUUCAUGAAACCUCCCCCUUUAUUAACUAAGGAGGUGGCCCGGUAGCACAAUGCCAGUGACUGGGAGGCAAUUCUGCUGCUGUCUGUGAGGAGUCUGCACGUUAUCCCCCUUGACCAUGAGGGUUUCUCUGGUUUUUUCCCACAUUCCGAAGACGUGUGGGUUAAUUAGUUGUGUGUGUAGUUAGGUGGUGAGGGCUCAUUGGGCCCAAAGAUCCUGUUACCAUGUUGUAUCUUUAAAUCAACUUCAGUAAGACAAAGGAGGUGGUGAUGGACUUUAGGAAGACUAAGCCUGCACUGCUCCCUCUUACUGUUACCAUUCAUGGUGAGGACCUACAAGUACCCGAGGGUGCACCUGUGUGACAGAUUUGAGUGGGACACCAACACAGGCUGUGUACAAGAAGGACUGGAGUCAGCUCUACUUCCUGAGGAGAAUGAGGUCCUUUGGAGUGUGCAGGCCUCUCCUUCACCUGUUCUACCUGUCUGUUGUCACCAGUACAAUCUUCUGUGCAGUGGUGUGCUGGGACAAUGGCAUCAACUCGGGUGAUGCCAACAGGCUAAGUAAACUGACUAGAAAGGCUGGCUCUGUUAUAGGAGUCAAACUGGACACACAGGAGGCUGUGGUAGAACAAAGGACCCUAUGGAAAAUCCUGGCAAUUCUGGACGUUUCUCACUGUCUGCAUGCCACAUUGGUUGAACAGAGGAGCACCUUUAGUAAUAGACUGAGACAACUGCGCUGCUCUGAAGAGCGCGAAAUGAGGUCAUUCUUACCCUCGGCCAAGAGGCUCUAUAAUGAGUCAACCUAAAGCUGGGGAAGUGACGAUCCCUUCUGUUAGACUGUUUGAGGAUGUCCCUAGGACUGAGGUUCCGCUGGGCUCACAGCUCAUUCCUAUGCCUGACACCAAAGACCUGAAAUAGAGGCUCUACUAUGGGAGGAGAUCAUCUGAGAGACAGAGGAAAUGAUUCAAUGAAGGCCCAUAUCCUCUCAAAGUGGAGAAGGAGCAACUUUCAAGGACAUCUUCAAGGAGUGAUGCCUCAAAAAGGCUGCAUCCAUCAUUAUGGACUCCCUGGAAUCACUCAGGUCAUGCCCUGUUCUCAUUGCUGCCAUCAGGGAGGAGGUACAGAAGUCUGAAGGAAAAACACUAAAUGAUUCAAGUACAGCUUUUUCCCCGCUGUCAUCAGAUUUCUGAAUGGACAUUGAAACACAUGAAAAAUAUCCUCUCUACUUUUUUGCACUACCUAUUUAACUAUUUAAUACAUAUACUUAGCAUAAUUCACAGGUUUUUCUCCAUAAUUAUGUAUUGUAAUGUAAUAUUGCUGCAAAGACAACAAAUUUCAUGACAUGUGCUGGUGAAAUUAAACCUGAU